GUUUAAUGAUGAUAUUCCAGUUCUGCUACUGAAUAAGUGUGAAAGACAUUAUACCAAAUAACUGAAAA
rnacentral:snoRNA from 1 species